rnacentral:rRNA from 1 species
UUGAGCCAGUUGCUACGCCAUUUGGUGAAUUGCUCGGCUCGAGUGCUGAUGAAGGUCGUGCCAAGCCGCGAUAUUACUCCGUGUAGGCGCAAGGAGCCUUUGAUACGGAGAUUACCGAAUUGGACAUCCAAUCGCUUCGGCGAUACUCACAUUAGUGAGGAGGAACCUGCCGGAUUGAAGCAUCUUAGUAGGCAGAGGAAAAGAAAUCAAUAGAGAAUUGGGUUAGUAAAGGCGAUCGAACGCCCAUGAGGGCAAACCGAAUCCCAUAGCGAAGAGUUAUGGGAGAUGUGGAGUUUUGGACUCAUUUACUUCCUAGCUGUUAAAUUUGAAGUCCCCUGGAACGGGGCACCAUAGAGGGUGAUAGUCCCGUAGAAGUAAUACAGUGGAAGAUUUUUGAGUAUCCUGAGUAGCAUGCGUUGGAUAUCGCGUGUGAAUAUAGGAAGCAUAAAUUUCUAACUCUAAAUACAACUCGAGACCGAUAGCGCAGUAGUAGCGUGAGUGAAAGUUGAAAAGUACCCCUUGCGGGAGGUGCAAAGAGCAUGAAAUCAAAUGGUUACAGACUGAUAAGGCAUGAAAGCAACGAAACCCUUUAUGGGUGGAGCAGUGUCUUUUCGUCCGUUUAGAAAAACGGGCCAGGGAGUUUUCGGUAAUGGCAAGGUUAAGGAUUUACGAUCCGUAGCCGUAGCGAAAGCGAGUGUCCGCAGGUAACAAGGGACAGGGUGUGUUCGCCUGUAGUCAUUGUUGGAAUACCCGAAGCCAGUCGAUCUAUGCGUGGCCCGGUUGAAGCCCUAUGAAAAUGGGGUGGAGGACCAAACAGUUGCUGAUCUGCAAAUCGCUCUGAUGAGCUGCGUAUAGGGGCAAAAGACCAAUCUAGACUGGAAAUAGCUGGUUCCCCCCGAGACUACUCGGAGGUAGACCUCUGUGGAGAUCGAUUGUGAGGUAGAGCACCAAUUGAGCGUUUAGGGGAAGAAAUUCCUCGGCGAACUGUUGAACUCCAAAUGUGCAAUCAUCGUAGAAGCAGGGUAGUGAGGGCAUCCGGGGUAAACUUGAUGUCCAAAAGGGAAACAACCCAGCCUUAUGUUAAGGUCCCUAAGUAUUAGCUAAGUGUUAUAGAUAAAGUGUGUAUAUUACCCCAGACAACCAGGAGGUUGGCUUAGAAGCAGCCAUCCUUUAAAGAAAGCGUAACAGCUCACUGGUCGAGGUCGUAUGCCUCGAAAAUGGACGGGACUAAGCUAGUCACCGAUACAUAAGCACACCUAAACAGGUGAUUGAGUAGGGGGGCGUCGUGCAUGGGUAGAAGCUUGGUUGUGAGAUCAAGUGGACCGUGUUCGAACGAGAAUCCUGGCGAAAGUAGCAGCUAAAGUAGAGUGAGAAUCUCUACCACCGGAAGGGCUAGGUUUCCUCGACGAUGUUUAUCAGUCGAGGGUUAGUCGGUCCUAAGGCUUAUCUUAAUCGAAUAAAUCGAAAGGGAAACAGGUUAAUAUUCCUGUACUCUGCUUGUAUUUGUCUUUAAUGUGACGCAUUUGGGUAGACUUUGUAGGUUUGUCUAUCUAUUCAAGCGUAUUAAACUAAGGGAGUACCGUAAUGGUGAGAACUUGGUCAAAGCGUGAUGAGUCUACCGCUUUUAGGUGGAUUUGGUCAAUCUCAAGUGCCCGUGAAAAAUAUUAAAGGAUGUAACAAGUGGAUCCGUACCGAGAACUGACACAGGUGCCCCUAGCUGAGAAGGCUCAGGUGUGUCGGUUCAAUUCAGGCGAGGGAACUCGGCAAAAUAGUCCCGUACCUUUGGUAGAAGGGAUGCCUGCUUUGUGUAAAAGCAGGUCUCAGUGACUAGGGGGCUCCGACUGUUUACUAAAAACACAGGAGACCGCAAGUCCGAAAGGAUGUGUAUGGUCGCCGAAUCCUGCCCAGUGACGGUAUCUGAAAACCCUGUUCAAAGGGAAGAAGGACCGUUAAACGGCGGGGGUAACCAUGACCCUCUUAAGGUAACGUAAUACCUUGCCGCUUAAUUGGCGGCUUGCAUGAGUGGCCUAACGAGAGCCCUACUGUCCCCGCCUGAAGGCCGGUGAAAUUGACUUACUGGCGCACAGUCCAGUACCUUCUAGAAGGAAGCGAAGACCCCGUGGAGCUUUACUACAGCCUUUUGUUGUGAUACGGUAAUUGAUGUGAAGUGUAGGUGGUAGCCGUCGAAACCAUGGCGCUAGCUAUGGUGGAGGCAUCAAUGGGACACCACCCUUCUUUUGUCGCGUCACUAACCAGAAAUGAGACACCAAUAGGUGGGUAGUUUGGGUGGGGCGCCACACGCUCAAAAAGGUAUCAAGCGUGCCCAAUGGCUACCUCAAGGAGUUCAGAACUCUCCUGUAGAAUGCAAGGGUAAAAGGUAGCUUUACACGGAUUGAAAUAAUAACAAUCGGUGUUGUGAAAGCAGGGCCUAGCGAACCAAUCAACCUUCUUUAUGGGGGUGAUUGAUCUCAGAAAAGUUACCCCGGGGAUAACUGAGUUGUCUUCAGUAAGAGCCCCUAUCGACCUGAAGGCUUGCUACUUCGAUGUCGUCUCUCCGCAUCCUGGUGGUGCAGCAGCUGCCAAGGGUGAGGUUGUUCGCCUAUUAAAGCGGAUCGUGAGAUGGGUUUAGACCGUCGUGAGACAGGUUUGUUGCUAACUUCUAGAAGCGUAUGAUGCUUGAGGGGAAAGACCCCUUAGUACGAGAGGAACAGGGGUCUGUAGCCACUAGUUUACCAGUUGUCCGACAGGGCAAUGCUGGGCAGCCACGCUGUAAGGGAUAAAUGCUGAAAGCAUCUAAGCAUGAAACUCACCCCGAGACGAGGCAUCAUAGAACUCGAAUAAAAGAUUCGUUUGAUAGAGUUAGGGUGUACGCACAAAGCUUCGGCGAUGUGUUCAGCCCGUAACUACUAAUCGUUCAUUUAACUGGCUCAA